rnacentral:rRNA from 1 species
GACGAACGCUGGCGGCGUGCCUAAUACAUGCAAGUAGGACGCAGUUGCGAACGGGUGAGUAACGCGUAGGUAACUACCUAUUAGAGGGGGAUAACAAUUGGAAACGAUAGCUAAUACCGCAUACUAGUAGAUGGACCUGCGUUGUAUUAGCUAGUAGGUCGGGUAAUGGCCUACCUAGGCAACGAUACAUAGCCGGCCUUAGAGGGUGGACUGCCAACAUGGGACGGAGGCAAGGCCCAGACUCCUACGGGAGGCAGCAGGUGGGAAUCAUCGGAAAUGGGGGGAAACCUGACCGAGCAACGCCGCGUGAGUGAAGAAGGUUUUCGGAUCGUAAAGCUAUGUUGUUAAGGAAGCGGUACUUAAACAGAAAGGUACGGCUAACUACGUGCCAGCAGCCGCGGUAAUUC